GACUCUCGGCAAUGGAUAUCUCAGCUCUCGCAUCGAUGAAGAACGUAGCAAAAUGCGAUACUUGGUGUGAAUUGCAGAAUCCCGUGAACCAUCGAGUCUUUGAACGCAAGUUGCACCGAGGGCAUGUCUGCUUGGGUGUCA
rnacentral:rRNA from 1 species